AAAGACCAAUAAUUUUUUAUUACCCGCCUAUUAUUCCCUCUUCUUCUCAUCUCUGUCGCCUGCCCUAAAUCCUCCAAGUAAAAGUUUGUACUUAAUUCUUUUUCCUUUUACUCUGAAAAUUUGCCCCCAAAUUUCCCAUUUCCAACAACAUCAAAUGUCUGAGGACGACGAGAGGCAGCAAUCUCUGCCGUCGGAUCUUGAGUUCGUUGUAAUGGCUUUUGCUUCUUCUUUUUUUCCGACGCUUGAUGGCCUUCUUCUCUGAAUCUGAUUUUGGUGGCGGCUUCUAAUUCUCAGUCGGCUUUUUCAUGGAUUUCAAGUGAAGAUUAGAUUUGAAGUGCUGGGUUCGUUUCCUGCAAAAUAAAAUUUGGAUUUUCAAAUUGAGUUGUAUCGGCAUCAAUCCAGCGGAUACUGAGCAAGCUCUAAGUACUUGUUCAUAGCUUGAGAAUUUAUAUUGAUUCAGUUAGGCGCCUUCUAUGCUCUGCAAGACCUGUGGCUAUCCAAACAUCAGCCAAUCCAAGUGCCUCUGAUCAGGAUCUUCAACAGGCUCAACUGUGGCAGCUUGCACAAAGGACUACUGCUCUUCCUCUUGGCCGUGGGGCAUUUACUUUAGCAACCAUAUAUACUCUAUUAACAGAGGCCUUUACUGUACCAAAGCUUGUUUUAGCAGGGCGGUUGCCAGCCUAACAAAAUGCAACUGUUAAUCUUGAUCCAAGCAUAAGGAACAUUCAAGAACUCAAGUCAUGGCCUGAGUUCCACAAUGCUGUUGCUGCCGGGUUAAGAUUGGCCCCACUUCAGUCUUUCCACUGCGGGCAUGGAAAGGCUUAUCUCUUUGAUAAGGUGUUGUGUCUAAAUAUCUGAAGUGUUUAUACAAAUUGUGUUUAACACUUGAAUGUUUCCUAUACAGUAAUUGGGAUACUGAAAGUGACCAGGAGUUCGAAGGAUACCAAACCGGGAAUUCAGAACCUUUAGGCUCUGGACAUAUUGGCAUCACCCUGGAUGAUACAAUCAAGGCAUGUGAAAGAUUCCAACGCCUUGGAGUAGAGUUCAGCAAAAAACAAUUAUGUAUAUCACAUGGAGAUUAUUUAAGACUAGAGUAUGCAAAUAUUUUCUUAAAGUGCUUUUGUUCAUGCCUAGUUUAUCAAUCUCAUUUGUACGGUAUGCAUUCAUCAAGGAUCCUAAUGUUUUCGGAAGAA